rnacentral:snRNA from 1 species
AAGAUGGUUUUCAGUUUUAGAU